ensembl:lncRNA
GCCAAGAUGGCCGACAGGGAGACAGGAAGAGCAACUCCUCCUGAGGGAGGCCACCACAGGCUCAGGGCACCCGGAGAGGGACUCUUCCUGGAAUCUCUCCUACAAAGAUACUUGUUCGUGUGCACAAACAUGAGUCUACGAAGGAUGCCUCAUGAACUGGAAAGCCAAAUGGAUGUCCAUCAAGCUUUUAAGGUGCUAAGUAUUCCUGUGAUCUUUAGAAAACACCCAGCACAGUCUACACAAUGAAGAAGAAACCCAGAGAGACUGAGUAACUUGUCCAGCUCAAGGUGGUCAAUGUCUGAUGAAUCUCCAACUUCAAAGUCAUUUUGGCCCUGCACUACCUGGAUCCUGGUUCACAGCAGCAAGAUGUCUGCUAUAUACUGACAAAGGAUGGAGGCUGGCCCUGAGUCCCGGUGCCUACAGGCAGUUUUAAGUCUCUUUGCACCACGU